AACGCACGAGACCUGCGGACCUGCGGAAGGAUCAUUAAUGUGAUGGAUGUGCUAGUCUUGACCUCUUAAUCCUCCUUCAAUUUAUUGUUAGGUGGGGGCCUGACGGCUCGAGAGGAAAGGAAAUAAGAACCCGUUCGGGUGUGCACUCCGAUACAAUCCAAUUUUCUCUUAUACCUUGUGCAUCUUUGCCUGCGGAGCAUGAAAGGAAUGUUGAAAUAACGUUUUUGAUUGAUCACGCAG
rnacentral:misc_RNA from 1 species